rfam:Myotis brandtii contig152878, whole genome shotgun sequence.
UGCUUUGCAUAGUGGCAGUAUCAUAGCCAGUGAGGCUUAUCCAAGGUGUGAUUAUUACUAAUCAAAAAAGAAAGAGAAUCACUCAAGCAUGUCUGCAAGUCUUUUUUUUUUUUUAAUAUAUUUUAUUGAUU